ensembl:snRNA U6 U6 spliceosomal RNA
GUACUCACUUCAGCAGCAAAUGCACUAAAAUUGUGAUGAUACAGAGAUUACCAUGGUCCCUACAGAAAGAUGACACACAAAUUCAUGAAGCAUUCCAUAUUCUU